CCUACGGGGGGCAGCAGUGAGGAAUAUUGGUCAAUGGGCGAGAGCCUGAACCAGCCAAGUCGCGUGAGGGAGUACUGCCCUAUGGGUUGUAAACCUCUUUUGUCGGGGAGCAAAAGCCGGACGUGUCCGGCUGUGAGAGUACCCGAAUAAAAAGCAUCGGCUAACUCCGUGCCAGCAGCCGCGGUAAUACGGAGGAUGCGAGCGUUAUCCGGAUUUAUUGGGUUUAAAGGGGGCGCAGGCGGAUGUUUAAGUCAGCGGUAAAAUCGUGGGGCUCAACCCCAUCCAGCCGUUGAAACUGGGGAUCUAGAGUGUGCGAGAGGUAUGCGGAAUGCGUGGUGUAGCGGUGAAAUGCAUAGAUAUCACGCAGAACCCCGAUUGCGAAGGCAGCAUACCGGUGCACAACUGACGCUCAGGCACGAAAGCGUGGGUAUCGAACAGGAUUAGAUACCCCGGUAGUC
rnacentral:rRNA from 1 species